rnacentral:rRNA from 1 species
AUACGGAGGAUGCAAGCGUUAUCCGGAUUUAUUGGGUUUAAAGGGUGCGUAGGCGGUUUGCUAAGCGGGAGGUGAAAUGCCGGCGCUCAACGUCGAAGUGCCUCCCGAACUGGUGGACUGGAAUGACUCUGCCGUGGGAGGAAUGUGUAGUGUAGCGGUGAAAUGCUUAGAGAUUACACAGAACACCGAUUGCGAAGGCAUCUCACGAAGGGUUGAUUGACGCUGAGGCACGAAAGCGUGGGGAUCAAACAGGAUUAGAUACCCUGGUAGUCCACGCAGUAAACGAUGAUGGCUAACCGCUGGGCUUAUCAGUUCAGUGGCCAAGCGAAAGCGAUAAGCCAUCCACCUGGGGAGUACGACCGCAAGGUUGAAACUCAAAUGAAUUGGCGGGG